UACGAAGGGUGCAAGCGUUACUCGGAAUUACUGGGCGUAAAGCGUGCGUAGGUGGUUUGUUAAGUCUGAUGUGAAAGCCCUGGGCUCAACCUGGGAAUUGCAUUGGAUACUGGCAGGCUAGAGUGCGGUAGAGGGUAGUGGAAUUCCCGGUGUAGCAGUGAAAUGCGUAGAGAUCGGGAGGAACACCAGUGGCGAAGGCGACUACCUGGACCAGCACUGACACUGAGGCACGAAAGCGUGGGGGAGCAAACAGG
rnacentral:rRNA from 1 species